UACAUGACGCACCUAGCGGAGC
rnacentral:misc_RNA from 1 species